rnacentral:lncRNA from 1 species
AAAUGUUUGUUUAAUUGAUCUGUCAACUCUGGUAAUACUCUGUAACUCUGUUCCGGCGAUGGAUACGAGUUAAGGGUGUUACACAUUCUCAAUCGGUUCUUGUAAUAGGCCCAAUUUGCCCGGGGCCCAUUCAGAAUAAGCAGAAAAAAACAAAAAAAAAUGAUAAAUAUAAUAAGAGUCCAAUACAAUCCAGUAUUACAAAUUUAAAUCCAAGCCCAGAUUACAUUAAGCUUCAAACCCACUAAACAUCAGUCCAAAAAAAUUAGCCCAAACAAUUAAGGUCCAACACCUAAUUCUACCCAAACCCCAAAUGAGCCCAAAACACUAAAUAACAC